GCCAGGAUUGUUUCUGGAGCCCUUUUUUUAAAAUUAGCAUUACACAAACUAAAUCAAGAAUUGCCUCUCCCCUUGUGGGUUCCAGGACUAGCUACUUCAAGAAGUAGACAUUAAUGGUGUAUAGAAAUUUUACCUCUGCGUUCCAUCCUGAGGUAACAUGUUCCCAGUCAAUCUUGGGAUAGUUGAAAUUCCCCAUUAUU